GAUGAACGCUGGCGGCGUGCUUAACACAUGCAAGUCGAACGGUGAAGCAGGAGCUUGCUUCUGUGGAUCAGUGGCGAACGGGUGAGUAACACGUGAGCAAUCUGCCCUGGACUCUGGGAUAAGCGUUGGAAACGACGUCUAAUACCGGAUACGAACUCCUUGGGCAUCCUGGGAGUUGGAAAGUUUUUCGGUCUGGGAUGGGCCCGCGGCCUAUCAGCUUGUUGGUGAGGUAACGGCUCACCAAGGCGACGACGGGUAGCCGGCCUGAGAGGGCGACCGGCCACACUGGGACUGAGACACGGCCCAGACUCCUACGGGAGGCAGCAGUGGGGAAUAUUGCGCAAUGGGCGAAAGCCUGACGCAGCAACGCCGCGUGAGGGAUGACGGCCUUCGGGUUGUAAACCUCUUUCAGCAGGGAAGAAGCGAAAGUGACGGUACCUGCAGAAGAAGCACCGGCUAACUACGUGCCAGCCGCCGCCGUAACAC
rnacentral:rRNA from 1 species